rnacentral:rRNA from 1 species
AACGAACGCUGGCGGCAGGCUUAACACAUGCAAGUCGAGCGCCCCGCAAGGGGAGCGGCAGACGGGUGAGUAACGCGUGGGAAUCUACCCAUCUCUACGGAAUAACGCAUGGAAACGUGUGCUAAUACCGUAUACGUCCUUCGGGAGAAAGAUUUAUCGGAGAUGGAUGAGCCCGCGUUGGAUUAGCUAGUUGGUGGGGUAAAGGCCUACCAAGGCGACGAUCCAUAGCUGGUCUGAGAGGAUGAUCAGCCACACUGGGACUGAGACACGGCCCAGACUCCUACGGGAGGCAGCAGUGGGGAAUAUUGGACAAUGGGCGCAAGCUUGAUCCAGCCAUGCCGCGUGAGUGAUGAAGGCCCUAGGGUUGUAAAGCUCUUUCACCGGUGAAGAUAAUGACGGUAACCGGAGAAGAAGCCCCGGCUAACUUCGUGCCAGCAGCCGCCGUAAGAC